rnacentral:rRNA from 1 species
GAUGAACGCUGGCGGCGCGCCUAACACAUGCAAGUCGAACGGUUAAAGCACCUUUUAGGUGUGUAUAAAGUGGCGAACGGCUGAGUAACACGUGGGCAACCUGCCCUCCUCUUGGGGAUAGCCUCGGGAAACCGAGGAUAAUACCCGAUACUUCAAUGUGGCCGCAUGACGACAUUGAGAAAGCUUUUGCGGAGAAGGAUGGGCCCGCGGCCUGUUAGCUUGUUGGUGGGGUAGAGGCCUACCAAGGCAAUGAUGGGUAGCUGGGUUGAGAGACCGACCAGCCAGAUUGGGACUGAGACACGGCCCAGACUCCUACGGGAGGCAGCAGUGGGGAAGCUUGCACAAUGGGCGAAAGCCUGAUGCAGCGACGCCGCGUGCGGGACGAAGGCCUUCGGGUUGUAAACCGCUUUCAGCAGGGACGAGGCGAUAAGUGACGGUACCUGCAGAAGAAGCCCCGGCUAACUACGUG